rnacentral:rRNA from 1 species
AUUGAACGCUGGCGGCAUGCCUUACACAUGCAAGUCGAACGGUAACGGGCCUUCGGGUGCCGACGAGUGGCGAACGGGUGAGUAAUGUAUCGGAACGUGCCCAGGAGUGGGGGAUAGCCCGGCGAAAGCCGGAUUAAUACCGCAUACGACCUACGGGUGAAAGGGGGGGAUCGCAAGACCUCUCGCUAUUGGAGCGGCCGAUUUCAGAUUAGGUAGUUGGUGGGGGAAAGGCCUACCAAGCCUGCGAUCUGUAGGUGGUCUGAGAGGACGACCAGCCACAAUGGGACUGGGACACGGCCCAGACUCCUACGGGAGGCAGCAGGGGGGAAUUUUGGACGAUGGGCGGAAGCCUGAUCCGGCAAUGCCGCGUGCAGGAAGAAGGCCUUCGGGUUGUAAACUGCUUUUGUCAGGGAAGAAAUCCUCUGGGUUAAUAACUCGGGGGGAUGACGGUACCUGAAGAAUAAGCACCGGCUAACUACGUGCCAGCCGCCGCAGUAAUAC